rnacentral:rRNA from 1 species
UACGUAGGGGGCUAGCGUUGUCCGGAAUCAUUGGGCGUAAAGAGCGUGUAGGCGGCCCGGUAAGUCCGCUGUGAAAGUCGGGGGCUCAACCCUCGAAAGCCGGUGGAUACUGUCGGGCUAGAGUGCGGAAGAGGCGAGUGGAAUUCCUGGUGCAGCGGUGAAAUGCGCAGAUAUCAGGAGGAACACCGAUUGCGAAGGCAGCUCGCUGGGACGUAACUGACGCUGAGACGCGAAAGCGUGGGGAGCAAACAGG